GGGGCGCUAGCUCAAUGGUAGAGCAGCGGCCUUUUAAGCCGUUGGCUCAGGGUUCGAGUCCCUGGCGCCCCAC
rnacentral:tRNA from 1 species